GGAAGGCAUGUAGGUAAGUGGUAGGGUGUCUGCCUUACAUGCAGAAGGUCUCAGGUUCAAUAUCUGGCAUCUCCA